UGUGGGAGCGGGCUUGCCCGCGAUGGCGGCGGGUCAGUCGGUAGAUGUAUCGACUGGGACAUCGCUAUCGCGGGCAAGCCCGCUCCCACA
rnacentral:misc_RNA from 1 species